rnacentral:rRNA from 1 species
AUGAACGCUGGCGGCGUGCUUAACACAUGCAAGUCGAACGGUGAAGCCAAGCUUGCUUGGUGGAUCAGUGGCGAACGGGUGAGUAACACGUGAGCAACCUGCCCUGGACUCUGGGAUAAGCGCUGGAAACGGCGUCUAAUACUGGAUAUGAGCUCUCAUCGCAUGGUGGGGGUUGGAAAGAUUUUUCGGUCUGGGAUGGGCUCGCGGCCUAUCAGCUUGUUGGUGAGGUAAUGGCUCACCAAGGCGUCGACGGGUAGCCGGCCUGAGAGGGUGACCGGCCACACUGGGACUGAGACACGGCCCAGACUCCUACGGGAGGCAGCAGUGGGGAAUAUUGCACAAUGGGCGGAAGCCUGAUGCAGCAACGCCGCGUGAGGGAUGACGGCCUUCGGGUUGUAAACCUCUUUUAGCAGGGAAGAAGCGAGAGUGACGGUACCUGCAGAAAAAGCGCCGGCUAACUACGUGCCAGCAGCCGCGGUAAUACGUAGGGCGCAAGCGUUAUCCGGAAUUAUUGGGCGUAAAGAGCUCGUAGGCGGUUUGUCGCGUCUGCUGUGAAAUCCCGAGGCUCAACCUCGGGCCUGCAGUGGGUACGGGCAGACUAGAGUGCGGUAGGGGAGAUUGGAAUUCCUGGUGUAGCGGUGGAAUGCGCAGAUAUCAGGAGGAACACCGAUGGCGAAGGCAGAUCUCUGGGCCGUAACUGACGCUGAGGAGCGAAAGGGUGGGGAGCAAACAGGCUUAGAUACCCUGGUAGUCCACCCCGUAAACGUUGGGAACUAGUUG